GGCGCACGGGUGAGUAACGCGUAUGCAACCUACCUAGUCAGAGGGGAAUAACCCGGCGAAAGUCGGACUAAUACCGCAUAAAACAGGGGCACCGCAUGGUGAUAUUUGUUAAGAAAUUCGCUGAUAGAUGGGCAUGCGUUCCAUUAGGUAGUUGGUGAGGUAACGGCUCACCAAGCCGACGAUGGAUAGGGGAACUGAGAGGUUGGUCCCCCACACUGGUACUGAGACACGGACCAGACUCCUACGGGAGGCAGCAGUGAGGAAUAUUGGUCAAUGGGCGGGAGCCUGAACCAGCCAAGUCGCCGUGAAGGAAGAAGGAUCUAUGGUUCGUAAACUUCUUUUGCAGGGGAAUAAAGUGCAGGACGUGUCCUGUUUUGUAUGUACCCUGAGAAUAAGGAUCGGCUAACUCCGUGCCAGCCGCCGC
rnacentral:rRNA from 1 species